rnacentral:rRNA from 1 species
GACAGAGGGUGCAAACGUUGCUCGGAAUUACUGGGCGUAAAGCGCGUGUAGGUGGAUUGGUGUGUCAGAUGUGAAAUCCCUGGGCUCAACCCAGGAACUGCACCUGAAACUACCAGUCUUGAGUGGUGGAGAGGGAAGUGGAAUUCCUGGUGUAGAGGUGAAAUCGUAGAUAUCAGGAGGAACACCAGUGGCGAAGGCGGCU